rnacentral:lncRNA from 1 species
UUGUGAUGAAAGUAUUGUCUAUGUUAAUUCCUGAUAGAGCUGGAGUAAAAUACUUUAGAACUUAAAUGGUUAGAUUUGUGCUUUGCUUUGGCCAUGCUAUGCUCUCCUAUUCAUUAGUGUCAUUUGCUUUGACAGCUGAAACAAACGCUACAACAUUUGAGCCCAGCUUCAGUCUUCCCUGCUGUUGAACUGAACAAUAAGCUUCUCAUGACUUGAGCAGGUGUUGAGUUCUUGAGCAUAAACAAGUGUUAAUGGACGUCUUUGACUUCAAGAAGCAUACACAGCAGAGGUGUUGUUUGGACUUGGAAGGAUCAUGCAAAGCAUUAGGAAGCAGCCUAGUAGAAAACAGCUGUGCAAUUUGAGGCAGGGUCAGUCUCAUAUUUUGGAGAGGGCUUACCUCUUACCUUCAUGCAAACGCAGGGCAUACGUGUCAAACCACCAGCAGCUUCCAGUUCUGUGAGAACAGCGAAUCCCAUCAGCGUGUGCUGAGAGCGGUAAAGCGUGAACAGGGAGAGUGGAAGCCUAGAGCAGCAGCCCUUGACCUCUGGCUCGCAGGUAACAAGCUCCCGGAAAGCCCUCCACUUCAGUUCAUGCUCCGCUUGACAUAACUACCCCUUGGCUGAAGGGAGAUGGUAUCUGCAGCACGUGGCUCACUGGGUAAAGCUGAGCAGGGACCGCAGAAGGGUGAUAACCUGUGCUCUAAAACCAUUGGGAAGGCUCCUGUCGUGUCCUUGGAAGGCCCUUCCACUUUCUGCAGUUAACUAGGUGGUACCGGUACCACUAAAGUGAUACCAGGCAAUUGCAUCCUGCUAAGGAAUCUCUUCUCUUGGAAUGGGCUCAUAUUUUGCUGCCUCCUCCUCAAACUUUGCUGCCCUUUUCAGUUUUGUAAUCCCCUGAUCAGUAAUCCUUGGUUUCCCCCCCACCACCCUUGCUUAAAAGCUUGCUUUCAGUUUAGUUGCCAGUCUGCUGCCUUCUUGUAGAUGGUGUCUUGUGUCCAAAAUCUGGCUUCGUUUGUAAAAGCAGUCCCGGGGGAGACAGUUUUGGGUAGAGAUUUGUUCUAAGCAGCCUUUUCGGAGCAGCUUCCCCUCUCCUAGGACCGCGGCCGUGCAGCUGCGCUGUAUUAGCCGCUUUUCG